UACGAAGGGGGCUAGCGUUGUUCGGAAUUACUGGGCGUAAAGCGCGCGCAGGCGGUUUCUCAAGUCAGUGGUGAAAGCCCAGGGCUCAACCCUGGAACUGCCUUUGAUACUGGCUAUCUUGAGUUCGGGAGAGGUGAGUGGAAUGCCGAGUGUAGAGGUGAAAUUCGUAGAUAUUCGGCGGAACACCAGUGGCGAAGGCGACUCACUGGCCCGAUACUGACGCUGAGGCGCGAAAGCGUGGGGAGCAAACAGG
rnacentral:rRNA from 1 species